rnacentral:rRNA from 1 species
AACCUCCGCAAUGUGAGAAAUCGCGACGGGGGGAUCCCAAGUGCCAUUCUUAACGGGAUGGCUUUUCAUUAGUGUAAAGAGCUUUUGGAAUAAGGGCUGGGCAAGACCGGUGCCAGCCGCCGCGGUAACACCGGCAGCUCUAGUGGUAGCAGUUUUUAUUGGGCCUAAAGCGUCCGUAGCCGGUUUAAUAAGUCUCUGGUGAAAUCCUGUAGCUUAACUGUGGGAAUAGCUGGAAAUACUAUUAGACUUGAGACCGGGAGAGGUUAGAGGUACUCCCAGGGUAGAGGUGAAAUUCUGUAAUCCUGGGAGGACCGCCUGUUGCGAAGGCGUCUAACUGGAACGAUCUUGACGGUGAGUAACGAAAGCCAGGGGCGCGAACCGGAUUAGAUACCCGGGUAGUCCUGGCCGUAAACGAUGUGGACUUGGUGUUGGAAUGGCUUUGAGUUGUUCCGGUGCCGAAGGGAAGCUGUUAAGUCCACCGCCUGGGAAGUACGGUCGCAAGAUUGAAACUUAAAGGAAUU